rnacentral:rRNA from 1 species
GAUGAACGCUGGCGGCGUGCCUAAUACAUGCAAGUCGAGCGAACAGACGAGGAGCUUGCUCCUCUGACGUUAGCGGCGGACGGGUGAGUAACACGUGGAUAACCUACCUAUAAGACUGGGAUAACUUCGGGAAACCGGAGCUAAUACCGGAUAAUAUAUUGAACCGCAUGGUUCAAUAGUGAAAGACGGUUUUGCUGUCACUUAUAGGUGAAUCGCGCCGCAUUAGCUAGUUGGUAAGGUAAAGGCUUACCAAGGCAACGAUGCGUAGCCGACCUGAGAGGGUGAUCGGCCACACUGGAACUGAGACACGGUCCAGACUCCUACGGGAGGCAGCAGUAGGGAAUCUUCCGCAAUGGGCGAAAGCUUGACGGAGCAACGCCGCGUGAGUGAUGAAGGUCUUCGGAUCGUAAAACUCUGUUAUUAGGGAAGAACAAAUGUGUAAGUAACUAUGCACGUCUUGACGGUACCUAAUCAGAAAGCCACGGCUAACUACGUG